GCUUAUUCUCAGCACUUGAGAGAGACAGCUCUGUAUGACCCAACCAUACCAGCUCAGUACCUGCAAGACUCUGCUCGCUGGGGUUCUUUCCAGUGGAGAGACAGACCUAUAAAUGGCAAAGAGUUUGUUGUGAACAGGCACAAAUUUGGUACAGAAGAAUCGUGGGAAAAAGUUGCAUGACAAAUAUGAAAAUUUGCAAGAUAAAAUAAUAACCUGAUCUCCAUGAAUCAAUAAAGAUUAUUUGCUGAACUUGA